rnacentral:rRNA from 1 species
AUUGAACGCUGGCGGCAGGCCUAACACAUGCAAGUCGAACGGUAACAGGAAGAAGCUUGCUUCUUUGCUGACGAGUGGCGGACGGGUGAGUAAUGUCUGGGAAACUGCCUGAUGGAGGGGGAUAACUACUGGAAACGGUAGCUAAUACCGCAUAACGUCGCAAGACCAAAGAGGGGGACCUUCGGGCCUCUUGCCAUCGGAUGUGCCCAGAUGGGAUUAGCUAGUAGGUGGGGUAACGGCUCACCUAGGCGACGAUCCCUAGCUGGUCUGAGAGGAUGACCCGCCACACUGGAACUGAGAUACGGUCCAGACUCCUACGGGAGGCAGCAGUGGGGAAUAUUGCACAAUGGGCGCAAGCCUGAUGCAGCCAUGCCGCGUGUAUGAAGAAGGCCUUCGGGUUGUAAAGUACUUUCAGCGGGGAGGAAGGGAGUAAAGUUAAUACCUUUGCUCAUUGACGUUACCCGCAGAAGAAGCACCGGCUAACUCCGUG